GAGGGUAUAGCUCAGUGGUAUGGUAGAGCAUGUGCUUAGCAUACAUGAGUUUCUGGGUUCAAUCCCCAGUACCUCUA
rnacentral:tRNA from 1 species